rnacentral:rRNA from 1 species
AACGAACGCUGGCGGCAUGCCUAACACAUGCAAAUCCAACGAGACCUUCGGGUCUAGUGGCGCACGGGUGCGUAACGCGUGGGAACCUGCCCUUAGGUUCGGAAUAACUCCCCGAAAGGGGUGCUAAUACCGGAUAAUGUCUUCGGACCAAAGAUUUAUCGCCUUUGGAUGGGCCCGCGUUGGAUUAGCUAGUUGGUAGGGUAAAAGCCUACCAAGGCGACGAUCCAUAGCUGGUCUGAGAGGAUGAUCAGCCACACUGGGACUGAGACACGGCCCAGACUCCUACGGGAGGCAGCAGUGGGGAAUAUUGGACAAUGGGCGAAAGCCUGAUCCAGCAAUGCCGCGUGAGUGAUGAAGGCCUUAGGGUUGUAAAGCUCUUUUACCCGGGAUGAUAAUGACAGUACCGGGAGAAUAAGCUCCGGCUAACUCCGUG